GUUUCAAAUGGGUUGAAGAUCGUAGCAAGGUCUAUGGUGGAGUCAGGCAUUCCGUUCUCAAGCCUUCUCCCAAGGAAGACAACAGGUGGAAACUCCACCAGUAUUCCAGCUUGGAUCCGAUGGAAAACGCUAUCUACGUCAUGUAUUGCAACAAAGUUGACGUUGAACCACUAUCAGCCGCGGAGGAGGAUGAGGAAUCUGACAGUGAUUGAUUCAAGCGGUUGUAGGUGCAGCUGGAGAGUGAAGUUUAGACACCAUGCUUUUAAAAUGUUUUCAACUUCUAAGUGAACAUCUUUCUUCUUUUUUUUUGACGAUCUACGUGACAUCUUUCAGAAGCCAAUAGUAUAAAGUCUUAUCAACUUUGGCCAAA